rnacentral:lncRNA from 1 species
UUACCAUAACUAGAGAAACAUAGGCUCUCAGUGCACAUAACACUCGAUAAGUCUAUUAAUGAAACCUACUACUAUACUCAGCUCUAAUUCUAAAUAUUACAAAGAAUUCAUAUUCUUUUGCUUUAGCCUUUAUGUUACAAAAUUCUGGAAGAUAUGAUAAAUUUGGUUUGGUACUUAAUUUAGUUAUAAUAUUAUACCUAGAGACAGAUAAAGAGACAUGUAAAUUGUAAGUUGUAAGUUGUAACCACUUGCCUUGAAGAAGAAAAAAUCCAUGAUAUUUUAUUCAUCUUCGACUUUCUGUGUUGUGUCCAAUUUUAGAACUUGCACUCUAUUUUCAUCCAUCCAAUUUCUUAAUUAGAAGACCUGGUUAAGAAAAUCAUGUUUGACUGCAGCACCAUAGUCAUUGUUUUUUUUUUUCUUCAUGUCACUGAAGCUUCUUGAAACCCCUGCCAAACAAAUUAAAGGAACUAAGUAUAAGAAAAUUUCGUUGUAAGAAAAUUCACAAUGCAAUGUAGUAGUGCUGUACUGUUGGAAACAGUAAUUGAUGAAAUUAUUAAAAUUUCAAAACAAACAUGCAUUAUAAUGUAUUGCAAAUGCUAUAUAUAUUGAGACAUUGGUCAAUAUAUAACACAACACGACAGAUCAAAUUACCCAAAAAAAAUAAUCUUUACCAGUGCUGCAGAAGUAGUUGCAAGAAAUUAAAUGUUCACUAAACAUAAACCACCUUAAGGAUAUGUGAUAUGCAUGUAACCAUAUAUAUAUCUAGGUAUUAUGCAUAGAUGUCACCACACUGUAAAUAGGUAAGAGAGGAAGAAGAAAACAAGGUGGUGACAGAAGUAUAGAGAGCACAAAAGAUUAGAGAUGCAGGCGGCUCUUUCUCUAGCUUAUCUCCUUCCCUCUCCAUCUCUCUCUCUCACUCUUGCAACAUAUAUGGUGUGAUGAAUGGUGAUAUAUAUGUAUGUACUUGCAUGUCAUCCUUAGUGCUCUCUAUCUUCUGUCAACAACCAACAUCACUCUCCAACCUAUACAUGUGUGAUAUGCAACAUCAUGAUAUGUAUGUAUAGCAUGUAUAUAUUUAGUGAUAUAUAUAUAGAUUAUAGGGAGUGUAUGAAGUGAUACAGGGAUAAUGGAGAGUAAUGUGUGUGUAUAUAGAGGAGUAAGUUGAGAGAGCUCCUCUCCACAGAAUGUACCAAAACGUUGACUCUUUCUACACCUCUACGUACACUCCCAUUCACACACAAAAAUAAAA